CUUAGGAUGUUUUCGUUUCUAUUUAAGUAUUUACAAGUAAAUAAGCUAUUUUAUUCAGCCAUCAAAAAAUACUGUAACUAAAAUACGUUGCUGCUGCUGUAUGGUAGCUGGAUCAUUAAUUUAAUAUAAUGGCUUCAUUUUAGAGACAGGCUUUUUAUCAGCAAGCCUAGUCAAUCCAAUAGUAAAGGUCACAACUCAUCUGUUUUUGUUUUAUUGCUUCACCAUUUGCCAGCUUACAGAACUACAUGGAAAGCUAAAUCUGUUCAAGAGAAGACUCUCAUGAGAGAAAAAGAAGCUACAAUGUGGGGGAUACUUGUUCCUCCACCACGUGUUUCCAGCAGUUUAUGGAUGACAUAUAAGCAGUGCUCAGGAAUCCCUGCCAAGCUCUGUACACCUGGCAAGUAUGAAAAGAGCCCAGAAGGUAUCUUUGGUGAGUAAUGCAGCAUCUCAAAAGCCUACUAAAACUCUGGUUGGUUAAAGACACGUUAAGAUACUUGGAUAAAAGGAGGCAGAGCCCUGAACAGGCAUAUGGAUGAGAAGAGCCGGGUACUUUUCCAGCAGCUUUAUCCUGCAAAGAAAGGGUGAUGUGAUAGAGGUGCUCAUCUGCUGAAGCUGUGCAGGGACUGUAGGAGUCUGACAGUUCCCAGCCUCUGAAAAAAUUCUCAGCCCUAUGCCUUAGACACAUAAUGACUGUCCUUGCUGAACCAUUGAAGUACAGCUUUUCAGUCUUUC
rnacentral:lncRNA from 1 species